GGGGAAAAGAAACCAACAGGGAUUGCCUCAGUAGCGGCGAGUGAAGCGGCAAGAGCUCAGAUUUGAAAUCGUGCUUUGCGGCACGAGUUGUAGAUUGCAGGUUGGAGUCUGUGUGGAAGGCGGUGUCCAAGUCCCUUGGAACAGGGCGCCCAGGAGGGUGAGAGCCCCGUGGGAUGCCGGCGGAAGCAGUGAGGCCCUUCUGACGAGUCGAGUUGUUUGGGAAUGCAGCUCCAAGCGGGUGGUAAAUUCCAUCUAAGGCUAAAUACUGGCGAGAGACCGAUAGCGAACAAGUACUGUGAAGGAAAGAUGAAAAGCACUUUGAAAAGAGAGUGAAACAGCACGUGAAAUUGUUGAAAGGGAAGGGUAUUGCGCCCGACAUGGGGAUUGCGCACCGCUGCCUCUCGUGGGCGGCGCUCUGGGCUUUCCCUGGGCCAGCAUCGGUUCUUGCUGCAGGAGAAGGGGUUCUGGAACGUGGCUACUUCGGAGUGUUAUAGCCAGGGCCAGAUGCUGCGUGCGGGGACCGAGGACUGCGGCCGUGUAGGUCACGGAUGCUGCAGCGGAAUCGAAGCGUU
rnacentral:rRNA from 1 species